GGAAUCUUCCACAAUGGACGAAAGUCUGAUGGAGCAACGCCGCGUGAGUGAAGAAGGUUUUCGGAUCGUAAACCUCUGUCCUUGGUGAAGAGGAAGAGACGGUAGCCAAGGAGGAAGCCCGGCUAACUACGUGCCAGCAGCCGCGGUAAUACGGAGGAUGCAAGCGUUAUCCGGAUUUAUUGGGCGUAAAGCGAGCGCAGGCGGUUUCUUAAGUCUGAUGUGAAAGCCUUCGGCUUAACCGAAGAAGUGCAUCGGAAACUGGGAAACUUGAGUGCAGAAGAGGACAGUGGAACUCCAUGUGUAGCGGUGAAAUGCGUAGAUAUAUGGAAGAACACCAGUGGCGAAGGCGGCUGUCUGGUCUGUAACUGACGCUGAGGCUCGAAAGCAUGGGUAGCGAACA
rnacentral:rRNA from 1 species